UUUAUGGAGAGUUUGAUCCUGGCUCAGGAUGAACGCUGGCGGCGUGCCUAAUACAUGCAAGUCGAGCGAACGGACGAGAAGCUUGCUUCUCUGAUGUUAGCGGCGGACGGGUGAGUAACACGUGGAUAACCUACCUAUAAGACUGGGAUAACUUCGGGAAACCGGAGCUAAUACCGGAUAAUAUUUUGAACCGCAUGGUUCAAAAGUGAAAGACGGUCUUGCUGUCACUUAUGAGAUGGAUCCGCGCUGCAUUAGCUAGUUGGUAAGGUAACGGCUUACCAAGGCAACGAUGCAUAGCCGACCUGAGAGGGUGAUCGGCCACACUGGAACUGAGACACGGUCCAGACUCCUACGGGAGGCAGCAGUAGGGAAUCUUCCGCAAUGGGCGAAAGCCUGACGGAGCAACGCCGCGUGAGUGAUGAAGGUCUUCGGAUCGUAAAACUCUGUUAUUAGGGAAGAACAUAUGUGUAAGUAACUGUGCACAUCUUGACGGUACCUAAUCAGAAAGCCACGGCUAACUACGUGCCAGCAGCCGCGGUAAUACGUAGGUGGCAAGCGUUAUCCGGAAUUAUUGGGCGUAAAGCGCGCGUAGGCGGUUUUUUAAGUCUGAUGUGAAAGCCCACGGCUCAACCGUGGAGGGUCAUUGGAAACUGGAAAACUUGAGUGCAGAAGAGGAAAGUGGAAUUCCAUGUGUAGCGGUGAAAUGCGCAGAGAUAUGGAGGAACACCAGUGGCGAAGGCGACUUUCUGGUCUGUAACUGACGCUGAUGUGCGAAAGCGUGGGGAUCAAACAGGAUUAGAUACCCUGGUAGUCCACGCCGUAAACGAUGAGUGCUAAGUGUUAGGGGGUUUCCGCCCCUUAGUGCUGCAGCUAACGCAUUAAGCACUCCGCCUGGGGAGUACGACCGCAAGGUUGAAACUCAAAGGAAUUGACGGGGACCCGCACAAGCGGUGGAGCAUGUGGUUUAAUUCGAAGCAACGCGAAGAACCUUACCAAAUCUUGACAUCCUUUGACAACUCUAGAGAUAGAGCCUUCCCCUUCGGGGGACAAAGUGACAGGUGGUGCAUGGUUGUCGUCAGCUCGUGUCGUGAGAUGUUGGGUUAAGUCCCGCAACGAGCGCAACCCUUAAGCUUAGUUGCCAUCAUUAAGUUGGGCACUCUAAGUUGACUGCCGGUGACAAACCGGAGGAAGGUGGGGAUGACGUCAAAUCAUCAUGCCCCUUAUGAUUUGGGCUACACACGUGCUACAAUGGACAAUACAAAGGGCAGCGAAACCGCGAGGUCAAGCAAAUCCCAUAAAGUUGUUCUCAGUUCGGAUUGUAGUCUGCAACUCGACUACAUGAAGCUGGAAUCGCUAGUAAUCGUAGAUCAGCAUGCUACGGUGAAUACGUUCCCGGGUCUUGUACACACCGCCCGUCACACCACGAGAGUUUGUAACACCCGAAGCCGGUGGAGUAACCUUUUAGGAGCUAGCCGUCGAAGGUGGGACAAAUGAUUGGGGUGAAGUCGUAACAAGGUAGCCGUAUCGGAAGGUGCGGCUGGAUCACCUCCUUU
rnacentral:rRNA from 1 species